GUGCAGCAGUCGCGAAACCUCCACAAUGGGCGAAAGCCUGAUGGGGUUAUUCCGAGUGCCAUCCGCUAAGGAUGGCUUUUCCCAAGUCUAAACCGCUUGGGGAAUAAGGGGAGGGCAAGUCUGGUGUCAGCCGCCGCGGUAAUACCAGCUCCCCGAGUGGUCGGGACGGUUAUUUGGCCUAAAGCAUCCGUAGCCGGCCCUGUCCGUCUUCCGUUAAAUCUAACGGCCCAACCGUUAGGCUGCGGAAGAUACCACAGGGCUAGGGGGCGGGAGAGGUGGACGGUACUCCAAGGGUAGGGGUAAAAUCCUCUGAUCCUUGGAAGACCACCGGUGGCGAAGGCGGUCCACCAGAACGCGCCCGACGGUGAGGGAUGAAAGCUGGGGGAGCGAACCGGAUUAGAUACCCGAGUAGUCC
rnacentral:rRNA from 1 species